AUAAUGGGUCAGCGACUUAUAUUCUGUAGCAAGGUUAACCGAAUAGGGGAGCCGAAGGGAAACCGAGUCUUAACUGGGCGUUAAGUUGCAGGGUAUAGACCCGAAACCCGGUGAUCUAGCCAUGGGCAGGUUGAAGGUUGGGUAACACUAACUGGAGGACCGAACCGACUAAUGUUGAAAAAUUAGCGGAUGACUUGUGGCUGGGGGUGAAAGGCCAAUCAAACCGGGAGAUAGCUGGUUCUCCCCGAAAGCUAUUUAGGUAGCGCCUCGUGAAUUCAUCUCCGGGGGUAGAGCACUGUUUCGGCAAGGGGGUCAUCCCGACUUACCAACCCGAUGCAAACUGCGAAUACCGGAGAAUGUUAUCACGGGAGACACACGGCGGGUGCUAACGUCCGUCGUGAAGAGGGAAACAACCCAGACCGCCAGCUAAGGUCCCAAAGUCAUGGUUAAGUGGGAAACGAUGUGGGAAGGCCCAGACAGCCAGGAUGUUGGCUUAGAAGCAGCCAUCAUUUAAAGAAAGCGUAAUAGCUCACUGGUCGAGUCGGCCUGCGCGGAAGAUGUAACGGGGCUAAACCAUGCACCGAAGCUGCGGCAGCGACACUGUGUGUUGUUGGGUAGGGGAGCGUUCUGUAAGCCUGCGAAGGUGUGCUGUGAGGCAUGCUGGAGGUAUCAGAAGUGCGAAUGCUGACAUAAGUAACGAUAAAGCGGGUGAAAAGCCCGCUCGCCGGAAGACCAAGGGUUCCUGUCCAACGUUAAUCGGGGCAGGGUGAGUCGACCCCUAAGGCGAGGCCGAAAGGCGUAGUCGAUGGGAAACAGGUUAAUAUUCCUGUACUUGGUGUUACUGCGAAGGGGGGACGGAGAAGGCUAUGUUGGCCGGGCGACGGUUGUCCCGGUUUAAGCGUGUAGGCUGGUUUUCCAGGCAAAUCCGGAAAAUCAAGGCUGAGGCGUGAUGACGAGGCACUACGGUGCUGAAGCAACAAAUGCCCUGCUUCCAGGAAAAGCCUCUAAGCAUCAGGUAACAUCAAAUCGUACCCCAAACCGACACAGGUGGUCAGGUAGAGAAUACCAAGGCGCUUGAGAGAACUCGGGUGAAGGAACUAGGCAAAAUGGUGCCGUAACUUCGGGAGAAGGCACGCUGAUAUGUAGGUGAAGUCCCUCGCGGAUGGAGCUGAAAUCAGUCGAAGAUACCAGCUGGCUGCAACUGUUUAUUAAAAACACAGCACUGUGCAAACACGAAAGUGGACGUAUACGGUGUGACGCCUGCCCGGUGCCGGAAGGUUAAUUGAUGGGGUCAGCGCAAGCGAAGCUCUUGAUCGAAGCCCCGGUAAACGGCGGCCGUAACUAUAACGGUCCUAAGGUAGCGAAAUUCCUUGUCGGGUAAGUUCCGACCUGCACGAAUGGCGUAAUGAUGGCCAGGCUGUCUCCACCCGAGACUCAGUGAAAUUGAACUCGCUGUGAAGAUGCAGUGUACCCGCGGCAAGACGGAAAGACCCCGUGAACCUUUACUAUAGCUUGACACUGAACAUUGAGCCUUGAUGUGUAGGAUAGGUGGGAGGCUUGGAAGUGUGGACGCCAGUCUGCAUGGAGCCGACCUUGAAAUACCACCCUUUAAUGUUUGAUGUUCUAACGUGGACCCGUGAUCCGGGUUGCGGACAGUGUCUGGUGGGUAGUUUGACUGGGGCGGUCUCCUCCUAAAGAGUAACGGAGGAGCACGAAGGUUGGCUAAUCCUGGUCGGACAUCAGGAGGUUAGUGCAAUGGCAUAAGCCAGCUUGACUGCGAGCGUGACGGCGCGAGCAGGUGCGAAAGCAGGUCAUAGUGAUCCGGUGGUUCUGAAUGGAAGGGCCAUCGCUCAACGGAUAAAAGGUACUCCGGGGAUAACAGGCUGAUACCGCCCAAGAGUUCAUAUCGACGGCGGUGUUUGGCACCUCGAUGUCGGCUCAUCACAUCCUGGGGCUGAAGUAGGUCCCAAGGGUAUGGCUGUUCGCCAUUUAAAGUGGUACGCGAGCUGGGUUUAGAACGUCGUGAGACAGUUCGGUCCCUAUCUGCCGUGGGCGCUGGAGAACUGAGGGGGGCUGCUCCUAGUACGAGAGGACCGGAGUGGACGCAUCACUGGUGUUCGGGUUGUCAUGCCAAUGGCACUGCCCGGUAGCUAAAUGCGGAAGAGAUAAGUGCUGAAAGCAUCUAAGCACGAAACUUGCCCCGAGAUGAGUUCUCCCUGACUCCUUGAGAGUCCUGAAGGAACGUUGAAGACGACGACGUUGAUAGGCCGGGUGUGUAAGCGCAGCGAUGCGUUGAGCUAACCGGUACUAAUGAACCGUGAGG
rnacentral:rRNA from 1 species